UCCGUUUUAAUUCCGAUUUUCGUGAUCUUUACGUUCGUGUGAUUCGUAGCGAUACGUAGAAUCUUUUUAUAAACUUUUCAUACUGUUUUUAUAUGAUUGGUGUAAUGUUCUAAUUGUAGUCUUGUUUGCAUCGUGUAUGUUGUCUCCGUUGUUUGUGUGUUGAUGAUCGAUGAUCGAGUUUAGUCGAUGAGCAAUUCGUGGUGAUCAAGAGUGCUCCAGUGAUCAAGAUUAGAGCUUUGGAC
rnacentral:lncRNA from 1 species